UGCUGGCAGCCCUGCCCAUCAUCUGAAGGCGCUGAACAGUGUCGCCCUUCGGCUCUGCCUCCAGGUGAUCAGAAACAAGAUAAACAAACCAAAUGACAGAUAAGAGUGAAUCAAGCUACAGAGUAAAGUGUUUUAAAGGCUUCUAGCUGUGGGAAGACUCUAUCUCCUGCUCUGUGGAUGUUGGAUGUGGCCUGAAUCACCUCUGAACAGGAUCUUCAAGAGUCAGUUUGUGGUCCAUCGUCUUUCCUAUUCCCAUCCCUUGAAACCCGUGAUGUCCCAUGUCGGGCUGUACUUUCAGAGUACAGAGAGCAUGGAACCGAGCUUCAGCCGGCCCGUGAUGGGCAUGUGGCACAAACUACAAGUACAUCUUUGUUGUUCCGAGUCACUGGCACUGUUGCUAUUGCCACAGUGUAGCACAAACUCAGGUGACUGACAUUGCACCCAAAUGAGUGCCACCUGUCACAUCUGACUUCCCCGAGAAAUCAAAGUAAUCCAUACACAGGAUUUCUGCCUUUAUCAAAAGAACAGCUAGGAAGCCAUAGAUGGAGGUUAAGCUGAGGUAUGACACAUUCAAGUUUAUGCUUAAAAAGAUUGUCUGGCUUCAGGGUGGAGACAGGGUUGGAGGAGAGGACAAGAUGGGGGUGGGCACAUGUUUUAGGAGGCCAGUGAGGGAACAGACGCAAGAGAUGAUGGUGGCUUGGAGCUUGAAGGCAGUGAUGACAAGAGGUGUUUAGUGGAAAACUGGUGAUGGAGGCAGAGGGAGGUGUGCCCUUGACUGGAGAGGAGAUGCGAUGUUCACACAAAUGGGGAAGCUGCAGAAGGAGGAGUUGGGAAUCAUAGAGAAGAGCGAAGGGUCCUGAGCUCUAUCACAAACAGCUCGCUGCUGACGGGGACCUGAGACCUCCAAGCAGGUUACUUGGGUGUCUGGCUCUACCUUCUCAGAUAAAUUUCUCGGCAGGACAGGAAACGCUGUCUACAAAGGCACCUGAUGUCGUCUGAGGUUUUGGCAAGCCUGUGCUCAGAUGAGUGUCCUGUCAAUACUUUUUUAGUAUUUUUUUAUUCCUGUAUUGAAUAACAAUGAGUAAGCCUAUUACUUUUUUUUAAUCUAGACAACAAGUAUGUGGCUCACCUGAUGUUCAUUUUUGCAUUUCUGACAAAAGUGGGAAAUAGUCUUCUUUUGUAACAACUACAGAGCAGACCAGGCAUUUAAAUGACUGCUCCACAAUCACAAGUGCACUUGACAGCAGUAUUGUGAUCGACCUUUGAGUCAUCCAAAGCAGUGUUGACCCAUCGGACGACAGCGUUCCCACUGGACCCGACUGCAGCCAAUACAACAUGGCAGAGACGACCACCGUGUGGGCUCUUCUGCGAGGACACUUCCUCAGCUGCGCCUUGAGCUGUUGCAGGUAGACCUAGUUAAUGAGGCGUAGAUGGUGAUUCAGAUACAAACCAGUCCAGAAUUAUCAGCAACAACAAGAUACAUCAUCUGAAACUUCUGGCUUGAAGUUUUCCAUAAUGUCUGGAUUGGUGAUGGUAGGUGAACAUGAUGUUAGAAGGUCACCAUUGGCUGGAAGACGUGCCUAAGGGAUCAAACAAAUACAAAGGAGGACAGAGCAAAAUUACCUUAAAGGAACAUAAAGAAAUAAGGGGAUUGAAAACUUUUCACCCAUGAGAACCGACGAGGUGAGAUACUGACCACACGACAUCCUAGUUAUUCCACGUCUCAUGUAGCUCUGAUGGCGUCCAGCACACCCCACCCAUGCACACACACCCUCCGGCCUGCCUUCGCUCGUGCUGCCUUCUCAGGGCUCAGUCUCAUCGCCCUUGCCUGGCUGUUCACUCCCUCUGCAGCUUUUGUGUUGUGGCCCUCAAACUGGCCAACCUGAAACAAGGCUUUUCCUUCCUCUGGGAAAUAUGCGGGGUCUCGCUUCCUCCCUUCAAUGUCCAACCUUGUCUUGUAUGCCAUCAGAACCACAUGCCUGCGGAGCCUAGAAUUCUGAGUGCCAUGUAAUAUUCUUUUCUGUUAACUGUCACUAACCACUAGUUGCUCCUUGGAAAUUACUGUGCUCCAUGGUGCAGCUGCCUAAUAUGACGGAGAGUUUUCUCCUCAGGGAUAUGGAUUCUGACAGAGACGUCGGCUUCACUGUAAGCUUUGAAGUAAAGAGAAUAAAAGUGUUUUUCUUCUAAAAGGUUGAUGUGCUUGCCUUGGUUGGUCAACAAUCUCCAGUCUUGGCUGUUCCCUUCAGUGUUGUGUUGCUGUGUGGAUUCCUCCAGAUGGACGUCAAAAGCAGUUUACAAAAGUGGUCACAUUUGGAAAC
ensembl:lncRNA